GAGAAUACAUUACAAUAAACCUUUUCACAACAGUGACCACAUAACUAAACAAAAGUGAUUUUUAUUUUCACAUAGAAUAAAUUAUGUAAGACGAUAAACGACUACAAUUAACCAGGAGUUUCAAGACCGUGUUUGAGAUAACUUAUCUAAAGGGAUUAGCUUUUCGCAGCAAAUCGCAUUAACAGGAGAGUUUCAUACGUAAAGACCCGUCUUUUUCGUCAAUUAAUAGGGAUCAAAAAACGAGAGAAUUUAAGCAAAGUAUUGAAGGAACUUGACACCGAUGUCUCCAACAACUUGGGUCUGAGUGGGCAAAGUACCGUUGGGGAAAGAGUUCAAGGUAGUGUUCAAAGCACUUGCAAAGGUGAAGGCAGGCUCAACGAGAGGGCUGUAACCAGAAGUGAAAGUAGCGACACAUUGUCCAUAAAUAUAGAAGGGACCAUAGUUGGGGAAAGCGGAAAGGGGAGCAUACUUCCAGCUCUCGAUGGUGCUAGCCAACUUGUAGCAGUCGCUCUUGGUUUGAGUGUCAAUGAAAAGGGUGGCAUUAGCAGCACCGGUGGUGUUGCUGCUGAUCUCGUUGAGGCUAUGAGCAAUAUAGGUUCCCCAUCCGAGUUCAUCAACAGUCCAGUUCUUUCCGAACAAGCUAACAAUGCUAGUCAAGUCGUACUCGUAGCUGUAUUUGGCCCAGAGAGCCAAUGUACCAACCAAAGCGUCAGGAACGACCUCCUUGGUAGGGUUAACAUCAUCGAAGGCAGUGAAGGCAGCAGCGAAUUCGAUCAAGUCACCCUUCUCCAAAGCGCUGACAGCAGUGCACCAGUCACGAGAGGUACGAUUGUUAAUACCGUAUUGAGUAUCGAUAAUCUCGACACCUAAAGCGGUGUCAAAGAGUUCAUUGGCAAUAUCCCAGUGGUGAAUAGGACCAUUAAGACGGAACUUGAGAGCAUCACGAACCUUAGAGAAAGUACCCCUAGUAGUCCUGUUGAAACGGGUGUCAGGGGAAAGAGGGCCACUGGUGUAGCAAGAAGUGUUGGUGUAGCUAACAACCAAGGUGUUAUCAGGAGUGGGAACACUUGAGUUAGAAGCGUUGGCACCAUAAGCGGUGGUGAGGGAACCCAAGGAGAGGGCACCCAACAAGGUCCAAACGAAUGACUUCAUUGAAUUGAUUGAAAAAAAAAAAAAAGAGAGAGAGAGAAAGCGAAAAUUAAAAUAAUAAAAAUAAAAAACUUAUUAUGUCUAGAAAGACCGUUUAACUAGUAACGACUGCGUUUAAUAGGGACGGAUGUUUUUAGCCACCAAAGUGUUAGCAAAAUCCCUUUACUUUUUGAGCAAUUUCGAAAUUGCAAUACUUUUCCUUGUCCUAAUUGAACAAUGCAAGCAUCAUGACCAGCCUUCCUAUAUAUAUCGUUUCCGCAGAACUUCCGGACUUUUCACAAUUUGUGUAUGAUUCUUCCGUGAUCCGCAGCCGACUAUUCGCAUCAGUUCUAAGAACAUUGUUGCUCAGCCGUCCACCUAUCUUCCAUACGCUAGAAAAAUAGUGAAACUUUUGCAGGCUUAGACAUGGGGCAAUGGCCACAUUCCAUACGAAAAUAGAAUCAUCUGGUUCUUGAACUGCAUAUCCGUGAGGGCCAACUUUUGGUAUUUUUCAACACAGGAUGGAUUGGAAGAGGCUUUGUGUUUCCAGGAUUUAUUUUUAACAGUAUUCAUUUUUUUUCAAUUGAUCGUUUUUUCUCUCAAAAGCCAUGAACUGCCGGUUAGGCUAGACAGGCGACUGCUUAUUUUAAAUUUAGGUUAUCACAUUUUCCUUUAGAAAUUCUUUUUAUUUAUUUAUUUUAUUUAUUAUUAUUUUUUUAUUUUUUUAACAAUAAAUCUUUGCUAUGAAUCCCAGAA